rnacentral:rRNA from 1 species
CCAGACUCCUACGGGAGGCAGCAGUGGGGGAUAUUGGACAAUGGGGGAAACCCUGAUCCAGCGAUGCCGCGUGAGGGAAGAAGGUUUUCGGAUUGUAAACCUCUGUGGAGGGGGACGAUAAUGACGGUACCCCUUUAGGAAGCCACGGCUAACUACGUGCCAGCAGCCGCGGUAAUACGUAGGUGGCGAGCGUUGUCCGGAAUUACUGGGUGUAAAGGGAGUGUAGGCGGGAAAGCAAGUCAGAAGUGAAAACUAUGGGCUUAACCCAUAGCCUGCUUUUGAAACUGUUUUUCUUGAGUGAAGUAGAGGCAAGCGGAAUUCCUAGUGUAGCGGUGAAAUGCGUAGAUAUUAGGAGGAACACCAGUGGCGAAGGCGGCUUGCUGGGCUUUUACUGACGCUGAGGCUCGAAAGCGUGGGGAGCAAACAGGAUUAGAUACCCGUGUA